GAAAUGCGAUAAGUAGUGUGAAUUGCAGAAUUCAGUGAAUCAUCGAAUCUUUGAACGCACAUUGUGCCCUUUGGUAUUCCUUAGGGCAUGCCUGUUCGAGCGUCAUUUAAACCUUCAAGCUCAGCUUGGUGAUGGGUGACUGUCCUCCCCUCGCGGGGGGGACUCGCCUCAAAAACAUUGGCGGCCGGUACAUUGGCUUCGAGCGCAGCAGAAACGCGGUCUCGAGUCCGGUGGAUCGGCUCCCAUAAGCCUUCUUUUUUAUUUUGACCUCGGAUCAGGUAGGGAUACCCGCUGAACUUAAGC
rnacentral:misc_RNA from 1 species